rnacentral:rRNA from 1 species
UUCAGGUUUCCCUCCGUUAGGGUAACCUGCGGAGGGAUCAUUACCGAGUUUACAGACUCCCAAACCCCUGUGAACAUACCAAUUGUUGCCUCGGCGGAUCAGCCCGCUCCCGGUAAAACGGGACGGCCCGCCAGAGGACCCCUAAACUCUGUUUCUAUAUGUAACUUCUGAGUAAAACCAUAAAUAAAUCAAAACUUUCAACAACGGAUCUCUUGGUUCUGGCAUCGAUGAAGAACGCAGCAAAAUGCGAUAAGUAAUGUGAAUUGCAGAAUUCAGUGAAUCAUCGAAUCUUUGAACGCACAUUGCGCCCGCCAGUAUUCUGGCGGGCAUGCCUGUUCGAGCGUCAUUUCAACCCUCAAGCCCAGCUUGGUGUUGGGACUCGCGAGUCAAAUCGCGUUCCCCAAAUUGAUUGGCGGUCACGUCGAGCUUCCAUAGCGUAGUAGUAAAACCCUCGUUACUGGUAAUCGUCGCGGCCACGCCGUUAAACCCCAACUUCUGAAUGUUGACCUCGGAUCACGUUAGGCAUAGCCGCAUGCUCUU